rnacentral:rRNA from 1 species
CAGCCGCCGCGGGAAUACGGAGGGUGCAAGCGUUAAUCGGAAUUACUGGGCGUAAAGCGCACGCAGGCGGUCUGACAAGUCAGAUGUGAAAUCCCCGGGCUUAACCUGGGAACUGCAUUUGAAACUGUCAGGCUGGAGUCUUGUAGAGGGGGGUGGAAUUCCAGGUGUAGCGGUGAAAUGCGUAGAGAUCUGGAGGAAUACCGAUGGCGAAGGCAGCCAUCUGGACUAAUACUGACGCUGAGGUACGAAAGCAUGGGGAGCAAACAGGAUUAGAUACCCGCGUAGUCCCUGUCUCUUAUAC